AUGACUCUUGGCAACGGAUAUCUCGGCUCUCGCAUCGAUGAAGAACGUAGCGAAAUGCGAUACUUGGUGUGAAUUGCAGAAUCCCGUGAACCAUCGAGUUUUUGAACGCAAGUUGCGCCCGAAGCCGUUAGGCUAAGGGCACGUUUGCCUGGGCGUCGUA
rnacentral:rRNA from 1 species